GAAGUAAUCAGUUUUGAUGUGAGUCACAAAGGACAAAUCAUUCUAUAAUGGGUCAAAAUUUUCUUCAUCUUCUGCAGAUGAGAACUGGUGUCAUGUAAAUUGCUGUCAUCUACAGUGGUGUGUUACCUCUAGUGCUGGAAA
rnacentral:lncRNA from 1 species